rnacentral:rRNA from 1 species
UUUGCNGACGAGUGGCGGACGGGUGAGUAAAUGUCUGGGAAACUGCCUGAUGGAGGGGAUAACUACUGGAAACGGUAGCUAAUACCGCAUAACGUCGCAAGACAAAGAGGGGACCUUCGGGCCUCUUGCCAUCGGAUGUGCCCAGAUGGGAUUAGCUAGUAGGUGGGGUAACGGCUCACCUAGGCGACGAUCCCUAGCUGGUCUGAGAGGAUGACCAGCCACACUGGAACUGAGACACGGUCCAGACUCCUACGGGAGGCAGCAGGGGAAUAUUGCACAAUGGGCGCAAGCCUGAUGCAGCCAUGCCGCGUGUAUGAAGAAGGCCUUCGGGUUGUAAAGUACUUUCAGCGGGAGGAAGGAGUAAAGUUAAUACCUUUGCUCAUUGACGUUACCCGCAGAAGAAGCACCGGCUAACUCCGUGCCAGCAGCCGCGGUAAUACGGAGGUGCAAGCGUUAAUCGGAAUUACUGGGCGUAAAGCGCACGCAGGCGGUUUGUUAAGUCAGAUGUGAAAUCGGGCUCAACCUGGGAACUGCAUCUGAUACUGGCAAGCUUGAGUCUCGUAGAGGGUAGAAUUCAGGUGUAGCGGUGAAAUGCGUAGAGAUCUGGAGGAAUACCGGUGGCGAAGGCGGCCCCUGGACGAUGACUGACGCUCAGGUGCGAAAGCGUGGGGAGCAAACAGGAUUAGAUACCCUGGUAGUCCACGCCGUAAACGAUGUCGACUUGGAGGUUGUGCCCUUGAGGCGUGGCUUCCGGAGCUAACGCGUUAAGUCGACCGCCUGGGAGUACGGCCGCAAGGUUAAAACUCAAAUGAAUUGACGGGGCCCACAAGCGGUGGAGCAUGUGGUUUAAUUCGAUGCAACGCGAAGAACCUUACCUGGUCUUGACAUCCACAGAACUUUCCAGAGAUGGAUUGGUGCCUUCGGGAACUGUGAGACAGGUGCUGCAUGGCUGUCGUCAGCUCGUGUUGUGAAAUGUUGGGUUAAGUCCCGCAACGAGCGCAACCCUUAUCUUUUGUUGCCAGCGGUCCGGCCGGGAACUCAAAGGAGACUGCCAGUGAUAAACUGGAGGAAGGUGGGGAUGACGUCAAGUCAUCAUGGCCCUUACGACCAGGGCUACACACGUGCUACAAUGGCGCAUACAAGAGANGACCUCGCGAGAGCAAGCGGACCUCAUAAAGUGCGUCGUAGUCCGGAUUGAGUCUGCAACUCGACUCCAUGAAGUCGGAAUCGCUAGUAAUCGUGGAUCAGAAUGCCACGGUGAAUACGUUCCCGGGCCUUGUACACCGCCCGUCACACCAUGGAGUGGGUUGCAAAGAAGUAGGUAGCUAAACCUUCGGAGGCGCUUACCACUUUGUGAUUCAUGACUGGGGUGAAGUCGAAACAAGGUAACCGUAGGGGAACCUGCGGUUG